rnacentral:tRNA from 1 species
UCGCGAUUAGUUCAGUGGGAGAACACCUUUGAUCGCAAAGAAGUAUCGAGUACGGUUCGAAUCCGUUAUAGUGUG